AGCCGCGACGGCGGCGGACGGAGGGGGAGGGCCGCGAGCCUUCGGAACCAGCCUCGAGGGUGCUGAACCCCGCGCGCCCGCCUCGCCGCGGCCCCCGGGUGGGGGCGUCCACGGCCCGGGUUCCCGGCGGGCUUGGGGCAGGGACGCAGUCCGGAGAUUCCGGGACUGCCCGGCUGCUGCAGCCCGCAGGCUCCUCUCUCCUCCCCGCUUCCCCUCCGCACUGCCUGGGCUAAAGGCGGCCAAGCUGAGGCUCCGAAAGAAAAGGGAAAAUUGCAACCCUUGCCUACAACCAGACUGACAGCAUAAUUUCUUAGGAAUCAAGAAUCAAUACAGGGUUAUUUCUUUAGAUUAAACCUUAAAAGCCCCCUUGGAGGCUGAAGAAGCAGAGGAUAGCCAUGCAUACACUUGAACGUGAAAAAUGGUCCUCUUUCAUUGGAGAGGUCUUCCUCUUCAGCUAAACCGACAGAGUGGUGAAAAGAAGAAGGGACCCCUUGUUGACCAAAAUAAUCCAGACAAAUCAAAUCGGCCCUUUCCAGCAAGGAGUGGAACAGCCCAAGGGUGGCUAGAUCACAUCUUCUGCUCACACCACCACUGAGCAACCCUCUCCAGGACUGCCACCUAUGCAUAGGUCAUGCCCUGUGCAAGAGCACAUAAAGUGGGAGCUGAAGUCCUGCCCAGGCUCCAUUCACCAAGCAGAGCUUAUGUUGUUGUGUGUCUGUGUCUACCCAGAGGAUGUGGGUCCUUUUUAAAAUGUGCACCAAUGCAUCUUGUAUGAGCUGGCACCAGCUCGGACCAUCCCACCCUCAUACCCUGGUCCUAUCCAGGGUUAUAUUCCCUACUUUAGAAGAAUUAAUUAUUUUUAUGAACGUAUUUAGUUUAUUGUAAAAAAUGAAAUAUAUGACACAAAUUGAAAUUAAUUUCAGAGGUAAAGGUCAGAAUAUUACCAUGUAUGUGAAUUAUGUUUGUAUGUAUAUGUAUAUAUCAAGAGAGUUAUAUGAAUAUACAUUUUUGUGUAUCAGAAGUGAGGACAAUUUAACUUUGUUAAGUGUUUGAAAUAAAAUUAUUUUGAGUUUUGGA
rnacentral:lncRNA from 1 species